rnacentral:lncRNA from 1 species
GGAAGUUGAUGAGACUGGCUUGUGGACAUGGGUCUGAAUGAUUCUAAACCAGGGGCAGGAUAGUUCCCCAAGGAAGCAGUCAUAAAACACAAAACACAGAUCACGAAGUCAUGAAAACUAAGGUGUGGAGCAGAAGCGAGCAGCAUCACUGCAAGAGCGUAAACCGUCAGAGUGGCCUGCGAAGUGCACUUCAUACUGUCGAACACUCUAGAAAUGACGUGUCUGAAACCAUCAGGAGAUUUCAAGCAUGGGAGAUUUUACAAGGGGGCAAAUGAAAGCACUCAGGGGGAGGUCCUAAAGAAGUUAGAAGUAGUAUGUUUACAGGGAUUUUAUAGGGGUUGCAAGAGUGCAUACUUCAUAGACUAACUUUUAUCCCUUCAAAGCACAAGUAAAUUUGGCCACAGAGCAUCUUCCCAGCAACAGUGACCUGUA